rnacentral:lncRNA from 1 species
UUUUAUUAUCUUUGUUAUAGAUUGUUUUGCUUUAUAUUAUUGUUUUGUUUGGAAAAUAUUAAAAUUGAUUUAAAAUAAAAAAUCCCGCCUAGGCCCCCUAGGCGCUAGCCCCCCCGCGGCCUCCCGCCUAGCGCCUUUUAGAACAUUGACUAGGAUAUGUAGUUAUUACUUUUUUCAUUUGUCAUUGAACUUUUUUUGGUCACGUGUAUUUUGUGUCCAGCGGAUACAGUGUAUUAUAAAGUGAGAGUAGGAUGUUUUGGGCCCUCAGCUUUGAAAUUAUAAAAGAAUUACUUCUAUUAAAUAUACAACACUAACUUUUAUGGAUACUGUAAAACUAGAUUGAGACAAUAAUUUAAACAUAAAAACUCCGUUUGCUCACGGUUAAUACAAACUCUAUCUACAUAAAAAAACUCAUCUUGAUAAAGUGAUAUAUCUCAUUAUAUUGUUUCUCUAAUCCCCUAUUUUCUCUUCAUGAUCUUUUAUGGUGUUCCUCACACAGUCUCACUUCUACUCGACUACUCACAUAUUUAAAUCUUUGUCAUGACUCAUAAUUAACCUUGUCAUCUUUUUUUCUCUCCCACCUCAUCUCUUUUAUUUUUCACGUUCAACAUUUUUCCUCUAACAAUUUCACUCACAUUUGUCUUUACAUAUAAUAUUUUUAUUAGAUUUUAUAAUGGUAAAAUAUACUCCCUCCGUCCCAUAAUAAACAUCCUAAUUUGACUUUCAAGGUCAAAUUGACCAUUUUUAAAUAAAUGAAUCUUUAAAAAAAUCAAAAUAUAAGCCAAGUGAUUAUGAUCAUAAUAAACUACGGAGAAUUUACUACUAGUGUCGAGUUUCGGAAUGGAAUUUGAUUAAUAAUUCUAAAAAUAGUCAAUUUGACCAUGAAAGUCAAAUUAGGAUGUUUAUUAUGGGACGGAGGGAGUAUCAAUUAGUAUAUUGUAAAGGGAGAAGAGGAUUAUAAAGGAAGAGGAGGAGAAACCGAAAACAAACUAACAGUGGUGGAUGAAUGGAGCGUUUGGCAAUUUCCUAAAAAUAUUUCUUUAUUGCGAGGUACCCUAUUUGAAAAUUUGUACUCCUUGACAUAGUAUAUAGACUGCGUAAGUACAUGACUUCUCCACUUGCUGACGGAGAAGAGGAGCUUUGAAAUUAUAAAAGAAUUACUUCUAUUAAAUAUACAACUUUAUGGUUGAUACUGUAAAACUAGAUUGAGACAAUAAUUUAAAAACAUAAAAACCUUGUUUGGUCACGGUUAAUACAAACUCUAUCUACAUAAAAAAACUCAUCUUGAUAAAGUGAUAUACCUCAUUAUAUUGUUUCUCUAAUCCCCUAUUUUCUCUUCAUGAUCUUUUAUGGUGUUCCUCACACAGUCUCACUUCUACUCGACUACUCACAUAUUUAAAUCUUUGUCAUGACUCAUAAUUAACCUUGUCAUCUUUUUUUCUCUCCCACCUCAUCUCUUUUAUUUUUCACGUUCAACAUUUUUCCUCUGACAAUUUCACACUCACUUUUUCCUUUACAUAUAAUAUUUUUAUGACUAAAAGACAAUCUGCACCCCAAAUUUUACACCUUUGUUGACAUUUGCACCCUAAACUGAAAAAGGUGUUUAAGUACACCCCAAACUUCAAAUAAACGUAACAAAAAGCACACUGUCGUCAAUUAGCCGGUCAAAAAUGACCGGCUAAAGCUGUAAUGUGAGAUCUAGAGGGGUAUUUAAGUCAUUUUCUUUUCAUCUUCCCCAAUAUCUGGUCUUUUUCCCUUUUUUCUAUCCUCCAUAACCAACUUCCUCUCUCUUCUCUAUUUCUCUCAUCUCAUUCCCUCUCACAAACCGAAAAUGGUUUCCCUAUUUCUCUCCUCUCCUUCCAUAUUCAUAAACUGAGC